AAUAUCAAAGUUUUAUACUAAAUAAAUUUUUUUUAAAAUUUUGCUAUUCAUUAGUUUCUUAUUGAUUUUUAUGACAUAUAGAAUAAUCAUCAUAUCUGACAAGUCCCGCUUCGCAGACGGGUCACCGAUACUAUAACUAUUUUAGACCUUACUUGUAAGUAUAAUCAUCGUCCAAUAUACUAUAGCCAGAUUAAAAAAUUUAGUACUAUUAUAUUUUAUAUAUAGAACUAUUUCAAAUCAUAAGAAUAUCGCAUAAUAUAAGU
rnacentral:lncRNA from 1 species